GCGGUAAUACCAGCUCCCCGAGUGGUUGGGGUGUUUAUUGGGUCUAAAGCAUUCGUAGCCGGCCGGGAAAGUUCUCCGUUAAAUUCGACGAUUCAAUCGUCGGUGUGCGGGGAAAACUUUUCGGCUUGGGGGCGGAGGAAGUCGGCGGUAUUUCUGGGGUAGGGGCGAAAUCCUAUAAUCCCAG
rnacentral:rRNA from 1 species